UGAUCUCAAAUCAGGUAGGACUACCCGCUGAACUUAAG
rnacentral:rRNA from 1 species